GCUAUAAUUUACUUGAUCUUGACACAAUCCUACUUGGAUAACUGUGGUAAUUCUAGAGCUAAUACAUGCAUUAAAGCUCCGACCUUGCACAAACAAGGGACGAGUGCAUUUAUUAGAACAAAACCAAGCGGCUUCGGCUGUUUUCGGUUGACUCAUAGUAACUGAGCUGAUCGCAUGGUCUUGCACCGGCGACGUGUCUUUCAAGUAUCUGCCGUAUCAACUUUCGAUGGUAGUGUAACUGACUACCAUGGUGAUCACGCGUAACGGAGAAUAAGGGUUCGGCUCCGGAGAGUUCGCCUGAGAAAUCGCGAACACAUCUAAGGAAGGCAGCAGGCGCGAAAAUUACCCACUCUCAGCACGAGGAGGUAGUGACGAAAAAUAACGAGACCGUUCUCAAUUCGAGGCCGGUCAUCGGAAUGGGUACAAUUUAAACCCUUUAACGAGUAUCUAUGAGAGGGCAAGUCUGGUGCCAGCAGCCGCGGUAAUUCCAGCU
rnacentral:rRNA from 1 species